rnacentral:rRNA from 1 species
UGCAAGUCGAACGGUGAAAGAGAAGCUUGCUUCUCUGGAUCAGUGGCGAACGGGUGAGUAACACGUGAGUAACCUGCCCUUGACUCUGGGAUAAGCGUUGGAAACGACGUCUAAUACCGGAUACGAACCGUGGAGGCAUCUCCUGCGGUUGGAAAGAAUUUUGGUCAAGGAUGGACUCGCGGCCUAUCAGCUAGUUGGUGAGGUAACGGCCCACCAAGGCGACGACGGGUAGCCGGCCUGAGAGGGUGACCGGCCACACUGGGACUGAGACACGGCCCAGACUCCUACGGGAGGCAGCAGUGGGGAAUAUUGCACAAUGGGCGAAAGCCUGAUGCAGCAACGCCGCGUGAGGGACGACGGCCUUCGGGUUGUAAACCUCUUUUAGCAGGGAAGAAGCGAAAGUGACGGUACCUGCAGAAAAAGCACCGGCUAACUACGUGCCAGCAGCCGCGGUAAUACGUAGGGUGCAAGCGUUGUCCGGAAUUAUUGGGCGUAAAGAGCUCGUAGGCGGUUUGUCGCGUCUGCUGUGAAAACGCGAGGCUCAACCUCGCGCCUGCAGUGGGUACGGGCAGACUAGAGUGCGGUAGGGGAGAUUGGAAUUCCUGGUGUAGCGGUGGAAUGCGCAGAUAUCAGGAGGAACACCGAUGGCGAAGGCAGAUCUCUGGGCCGUAACUGACGCUGAGGAGCGAAAGCAUGGGGAGCGAACAGGAUUAGAUACCCUGGUAGUCCAUGCCGUAAACGUUGGGAACUAGAUGUGGGGACCAUUCCACGGUCUCCGUGUCGCAGCUAACGCAUUAA